UCUUUGUUGCCAAAUACGUUUCUUCAAGCACCCGAACCUAGGCCGCGUGCUUGACCACGCUGGAGUAGUCUGUGGAGUUACCGCUUUCUUUGUUGCCAUCACAGUCUCUUUUCCGCUCUGCCUCAAGCUCAUUUCCUGGAUCGUAUAUGCUCUUUCAUUGCUAGCAAUUUUCGUUUGCAAUUGCUGAAUCCUAGCAGACGAUUGUCUCUGUCAGUCAGGGAUUGGAAAUAAGCAAAGAAGCAUGGAAUGGAAUAACAGAUACAUCUCUCAUUGAUAACAUCUAAAGUAACUUCAAAAGCCUGAUAAGUGAUGAUCGCUUGGCCAGUUGGGAUGAUCUUCGGUGCUAUUGCUGGAAUAGGACAACCAACUUCAGUGGAUAAUUAUACUUGAUUGACUGGCAUAAGCAAAUAAUAUGAAGUACCAAGCUACUUCAAAGGUAUUGAUCAUUCUC